CCCCAACAUACUGCACCUUUUUCUUAUUUUUAUUCUUUUUCUUUCCUUUCUUAAAGGGACAACACCUACUGAAGAGCCACCCACCAUGUUCAUCAUCUUCUUGUAAAGCUAGUGAUCCUUCUCAAAAGUCUGCAGCAACCCCAAUAAACCAUGAUAGUUGACUGCAGAUUUUGUUAUUCUAUAAUGACUGAAAAAAGAUAGGUAGGACUUGGGUAGAGAGUUCAGUGUCACAUC
rnacentral:lncRNA from 1 species